UGGACAUAAAGGAUCAAAAGCAAAGAGAGCUUGUUUGACUAUGUUUAUUUGCUUGAGGAUAAGCAAAAGGCUAGAUGUGGGGGUAUUUGAUAGAGAAUAUUUUAGACCCAUUUAUCAUGAUAUUAUUGAUGUUCAUUUACACUUUUUCUGCCUAAUUUUGUGGUUUUGGUCUUGUUUUUCAGAAAAUAGGUGUAAAGAGACAAUCUGGUGAAAAUGCUCUUAAAACU
rnacentral:lncRNA from 1 species